rnacentral:rRNA from 1 species
UUCGCAAUGCCCGAAAGGGUGACGAAGCGACGCCGCGUGUGGGAAGAAGGCCUUCGGGUUGUAAACCACCGUCGGGAGUUAGGAAGUGCAGGAGCGUUAAUAGCGUUUUUGCUUGACUAAGGCUCCAGAGGAAGCCACGGCUAACUCUGUGCCAGCAGCCGCGGUAAUACAGAGGCGGCAAGCGUUGUUCGGAAUUAUUGGGCGUAAAGAGCACGUAGGCGGCCUUGCAAGUCAGUUGUGAAAGCCUUCCGCUCAACGGAAGAAUGCCAGCCGAUACUACAGGGCUUGAGUACGGGAGGGGAGAGUGGAACUUCUGGUGGAGCGGUGAAAUGCGUAGAUAUCAGAAGGAACGCCGGCGGCGAAAGCGACUCUCUGGCCCGAAACUGACGCUGAGUGUGCGAAAGCUAGGGGAGCAAACGGGAUUAGAUACCCCGGUAGUCCUAGCCGUAAACGAUGGGCACUAAGUAGAGGGGUUUU